AUAUGGAAAAGAUAUUAUGUUAGUAUGUUAUCCUUUUAAAUUGAAGUAUUUAAACCAAAAAGGUUUUUUAUCCCACAAUGAAAAAAUAUAACUUUUUUUUGUAAACAUAGAGUAUAUAUACUAAAGGGAUUUAAAUCUCACAUUGAAAAAAUAAUUUUUUUCUUGUGAACAUAGAGUGUAUAUAUAUUAAAGGGCUUCAAAUCUCACACUGAAAAAAUAAAACAUUCUUCUAGUAAUUAUAUAGUGAACUUUGAAAAAGAUUAAUAUCCAACUAAAAAUAUAUAUAAAAAAAGAGGGGUUUAUGGCUAGGAGA
rnacentral:lncRNA from 1 species